rnacentral:rRNA from 1 species
GGUGAACCUGCGGAAGGAUCAUUACCAAUUCAACGGUGUGGUCGCGGCCUCCGGGGGCUUGCCCCUGGGCGGUAGAGGUAGCACUCUCACGCGCCACAUGUCUGAAUCCUUUUUUUACGAGCACCUUUCGUUCUCCUUCGGUGGGGCAACCUGCCGUUGGAACUUAUCAAAACCUUUUUUGCAUUUAGCAUUACCUGUUCAGAUACAAACAAUCGUUACAACUUUCAACAAUGGAUCUCUUGGCUCUGGCAUCGAUGAAGAACGCAGCGAAAUGCGAUAAGUAGUGUGAAUUGCAGAAUUCAGUGAAUCAUCGAAUCUUUGAACGCACAUUGCGCCCCUUGGUAUUCCAUGGGGCAUGCCUGUUCGAGCGUCAUCUACACCCUCAAGCUCUGCUUGGUGUUGGGCGUCUGUCCCGCCUCUGCGCGUGGACUCGCCCCAAAUUCAUUGGCAGCGGUCUUUGCCUCCUCUCGCGCAGCACAUUGCGCUUCAGAGGGGCGUGGGCCGCGUCCACAAAGCAACAUUACCGUCUUUGACCUCGGAUCAGGUAGGGAUACCCGCUGAACUUAAGCAUAUCAAUAAGCGGAGGAAAGGAUCAUUA